UACGGGGGGGGCAAGCGUUGUUCGGAAUUACUGGGCGUAAAGGGCGUGUAGGCGGCCAACUAAGUCCGACGUGAAAUCCCCAGGCUUAACCUGGGAACUGCGUCGGAUACUGGAUGGCUUGAAUCCGGGAGAGGGAUGCGGAAUUCCAGGUGUAGCGGUGAAAUGCGUAGAUAUCUGGAGGAACACCGGCGGCGAAGGCGGCAUCCUGGACCGAUACUGACGCUGAGGAGCGAAAGCCAGGGGAGCAAACGGG
rnacentral:rRNA from 1 species